UCAUUUCAUACACACACACACCAACUGAAAACGGGAGAAGGAAGUAGAAAAAUCGGGAAAGAAAAAAAAGAAAGAGGGAAGGAAAAAAAGAAAAGAAAAAGAAGGGAGGAGGAAAGAGAAGGAAAACAAGGAAAGGGUUUUGAUUUGUUGGUGUAAAGUUCAAAUUUAACAGAGAUGAGUACAAAAUUGAAGCUCUAGUUUCUUGAUUCUCUAAUUGCCAUUUACAUUAAGAUAGUAGCUGAGUAGAGCAAUUUUGGAGCCUAUCGAACCAUCGAAUUGAGCCAUGCUUCAUAGAUUGUGUGACAUCAUUUAUUAGAUUAUACAUUAUGUGUUCUUUUGGGAUACAUGUAGUUUAAAUCAGAAAAGUUCAUUAUGGGCUCAUUAGAUAUUUGGUAUCUUUAGUAUAUUUGAAUAUUGUUGGUUGUAAAGCAAGUAAAUGCUGGUUUGUCAACAUUUUAUUUAAAUAGUUUGUAUUUUGAGGGAUUGACGUACCUUGAUUUAUAUUAUAGAUACUGAUUUGAGGAAAAUUGGUAAUUGUUCAA